CCUUUAAACUUCUGCAUUUUGUCUUGCAAAAUGCAAGGAAAAUACAGAAAUUGGAGCAGCAGACUAUGACAUGAAAAGCUAUAGCAGUGGAAAAAGGCCAGCUGGUUCAACAUGCCAGUCCUUUUAAAGCAGAGGCAGAAAAAGAAGGAGGCUACAGAUCACUUAGACCAUGAUCAGUGAAACAGGGCAGCUGAUCAGAAGGAUGCAGCUGUUAGAACAACGUUAGUUCUUGCAGACCCAGGAAGCAGAACAGUAUUUUUCAAACUGAAGACUUCACUCCCAUCGUAACAGAUCAAACCAUCAUUCAGACCAGCAGAUCCUGUCCUCUCUCAGCCUGCACAGCUCUGCACUUGUAUUUGCUAAUUAAGUACCGACAAGCGAGAAGCAGCAAGUGCAGCAAUAUUGUGUGCUUGUGGGCUUUCAGAACAGCCCCCCUGGAACCUGAGCCUGUCUGUCUCAAGGAGCCACAGCAGCA